AAUUUGUUGUUUAGGUGUUGCCUAAGAAAUCCUUCUCUGGGCUGGAGAGAUGGCUCAGCCGUUAAAGGCUAGGCUCACAACCAAAAAUAUA
rnacentral:miRNA from 14 species